rnacentral:rRNA from 1 species
AUUGAACGCUGGCGGAAUGCUUUACACAUGCAAGUCGAACGGUAGAGGGGGCAGCCCCUCGAGAGUGGCGAACGGGUGAGUAAUAUAUCGGAACGUGCCCAGUCGUGGGGGAUAACGUAGCGAAAGUUACGCAAAUACCGCAUACGAUCUAAGGAUGAAAGCGGGGGAUCGCAAGACCUCGCGCGAUUGGAGCGGCCGAUAUCAGAUUAGGUAGUUGGUGGGGUAAAGGCUCACCAAGCCAACGAUCUGUAGCUGGUCUGAGAGGACGACCAGCCACACUGGAACUGAGACACGGUCCAGACUCCUACGGGAGGCAGCAGUGGGGAAUUUUGGACAAUGGACGCAAGUCUGAUCCAGCCAUUCCGCGUGCAGGAUGAAGGCCCUCGGGUUGUAAACUGCUUUUGUACGGAACGAAAAGGUCUCUCUUAAUACGGGGGGCUCAUGACGGUACCGUAAGAAUAAGCACCGGCUAACUACGUGCCAGCCGCCGCGGUAA